rnacentral:rRNA from 1 species
UACGUAGGGUGCGAGCGUUAAUCGGAAUUACUGGGCGUAAAGCGUGCGCAGGCGGUUGGUUAAGUCUGAUGUGAAAGCCCCGGGCUCAACCUGGGAAUGGCAUUGGAAACUGUCCAGCUGGAGUGUGGCAGAGGGGGGUGGAAUUCCGCGUGUAGCAGUGAAAUGCGUAGAGAUUUGGAGGAAUACCAGUGGCGAAGGCGGCCCCCUGGCACAACACUGACGCUCAGGUGCGAAAGCGUGGGGAGCAAACAGG